rnacentral:rRNA from 1 species
GAUGAACGCUGGCGGCGUGCUUAACACAUGCAAGUCGAACGGUGAAGCAGAGCUUGCUCUGUGGAUCAGUGGCGAACGGGUGAGUAACACGUGAGCAACCUGCCCUGGACUCUGGGAUAAGCGCUGGAAACGGCGUCUAAUACUGGAUACGAGACGUGGCCGCAUGGUCAACGUUUGGAAAGAUUUUUUGGUUCAGGAUGGGCUCGCGGCCUAUCAGCUUGUCGGUGAGGUAAUGGCUCACCAAGGCGUCGACGGGUAGCCGGCCUGAGAGGGUGGCCGGCCACACUGGGACUGAGACACGGCCCAGAGUCCUACGGGAGGCAGCAGUGGGGAAUAUUGCACAAUGGGCGAAAGCCUGAUGCAGCAACGCCGCGUGAGGGAUGACGGCCUUCGGGUUGUAAACCUCUUUUAGCAAGGAAGAAGCGAAAGUGACGGUACUUGCAGAAAAAGCGCCGGCUAACUACGUGCCAGCCGCCGCGGUAAAAC